rnacentral:rRNA from 1 species
UGGGGAAUUUUGGACAAUGGGGGAAACCCUGAUCCAGCCAUCCCGCGUGUGCGAUGAAGGCCUUCGGGUUGUAAAGCACUUUUGGCAGGAAAGAAACGUCAUGGGUUAAUACCCCGUGAAACUGACGGUACCUGCAGAAUAACCACGGGCUAACUACGUGCCAGCAGCCGCGGUAAUACGUAGGGUGCAAGCGUUAAUCGGAAUUACUGGGCGUAAAGCGUGCGCAGGCGGUUCGGAAAGAAAGAUGUGAAAUCCCAGAGCUCAACUUUGGAACUGCAUUUUUAACUACCGGGCUAGAGUGUGGCAGAGGGAGGUGGAAUUCCGAGUGUAGCAGUGAAAUGCGUAGAUAUGCGGAGGAACACCGAUGGCGAAGGCAGCCUCCUGGGAUAACACUGACGCUCAUGCACGAAAGCGUGGGGAGCAAACAGG